UACGUAGGGCGCAAGCGUUGUCCGGAAUUAUUGGGCGUAAAGAGCUCGUAGGCGGCUUGUCACGUCGGGUGUGAAAGCCCGGGGCUUAACCCCGGGUCUGCAUUCGAUACGGGCUAGCUAGAGUGUGGUAGGGGAGAUCGGAAUUCCUGGUGUAGCGGUGAAAUGCGCAGAUAUCAGGAGGAACACCGAUUGCGAAGGCAGCUCGCUGGGACGGUACUGACGCUGAGGCGCGAAAGCGUGGGGAGCAAACAGG
rnacentral:rRNA from 1 species